UGCAGGGGCAGUAGUGAGGCCUUGAGGUCCUGAAGUAGUGCAGCUCAUUAACGCCAUUUUAAAGCAAGAUGUUCAAAGGCAACGGACAGAUUUUGACUUUCAGAAGAAUUCUCCAAUAAAUCUGGUGUGAAAUGGGAUUUGGCCCAAAGGUCCCAGGAGAUAGAACCUGGCAAAGGCUGUUCCUACCACUCGGCUUCUCUCUAGCUAUUUAAGAAACUCAAAUCAAUACCUGGUCCUGGCAGAUGAAGAGAAUCGGGUCCUGUUUUCACCGGCAUGCUGCCCCUGGAACCGAUGGGCCAGAGAAUCUGGGCUGCCUUACUGAGAUCAGUUGACACUGUGUGAGGAAAGAACGUAUCUGGUUUUUCAUCUUAAUGAAAAGCAGUCAUGGCGUUGUGAAA